rnacentral:tRNA from 1 species
GCUCGUCUGGUGGAAUUGGCAGACACGCGCGACUCAAACUCGCGUGCCGAGAGGCGUGAGGGUUCAAGUCCCUCGACGAGCACC